rnacentral:rRNA from 1 species
AGAGUUUGAUCCUGGCUCAGGAUGAACGCUAGCGGCAGGCCUAACACAUGCAAGUCGAGGGGGAAGUUACUUUCGGGUAACUGAGACCGGCGUACGGGUGCGUAACGCGUAUACAAUCUGCCUUUCACUGGGGGAUAGCCCGAAGAAAUUUGGAUUAAUACCCCAUAGUAUAGUAGUGUGGCAUCACACAACUAUUAAAGCCUUGGUGGUGAAAGAUGAGUAUGCGUUCUAUUAGCUAGUUGGAGAGGUAACGGCUCCCCAAGGCGACGAUAGAUAGGGGUUCUGAGAGGGAUGUCCCCCACACUGGUACUGAGAUACGGACCAGACUCCUACGGGAGGCAGCAGUGAGGAAUAUUGGACAAUGGUCGGAAGACUGAUCCAGCCAUGCCGCGUGCAGGAUGACGGCCUUAUGGGUUGUAAACUGCUUUUGUAAGGGAAGAAUAAGGGCUACGCGUAGUUUGAUGACGGUACCUUACGAAUAAGCAUCGGCUAACUCCGUGCCAGCAGCCGCGGUAAUACGGAGGAUGCGAGCGUUAUCCGGAAUCAUUGGGUUUAAAGGGUCUGUAGGCGGGCUGGUAAGUCAGAGGUGAAAGCGCUUAGCUCAACUAAGCAACUGCCUUUGAAACUGUUGGUCUUGAAUGGUUGUGAAGUAGUUGGAAUGUGUAGUGUAGCGGUGAAAUGCUUAGAUAUUACACAGAACACCGAUAGCGAAGGCAUAUUACUAACAAUUAAUUGACGCUGAUGGACGAAAGCGUGGGGAGCGAACAGGAUUAGAUACCCUGGUAGUCCACGCU